GACAGAGGGUGCAAGCGUUAAUCGGAAUAACUGGGCGUAAAGGGCACGUAGGUGGAUUUUUAAGUCAAGUGUGAAAUCCCUGGGCUUAACCUGGGAACUGCACGUGAUACUGAAUAUCUAGAGUACAGUAGAGGGAAGUGGAAUUUCCGGUGUAGCGGUGAAAUGCGUAGAUAUCGGAAGGAACACCAGUGGCGAAGGCGGCUUUCUGGACUGAUACUGACACUGAGGUGCGAAAGCGUGGGUAGCAAAC
rnacentral:rRNA from 1 species